ACGCAGUGUAGCUUGCUCCGCUGACGACCGGCGAACGGGUGCGUAACGCGUAUAGAAUCUACCUCUUACUAAGGGAUAGCCCAGAGAAAUUUGGAUUAAUAUCUUAUAGUAUGUUGACUUGGCAUCAAGAUAACAUUAAAGGUUACGGUAAGAGAUGACUAUGCGUCCUAUUAGCUAGAUGGUGUGGUAACGGCACACCAUGGCAACGAUAGGUAGGGGCUCUGAGAGGGGGAUCCCCCACACUGGUACUGAGACACGGACCAGACUCCUACGGGAGGCAGCAGUGAGGAAUAUUGGACAAUGGAGGCAACUCUGAUCCAGCCAUGCCGCGUGCAGGAAGACUGCCCUAUGGGUUGUAAACUGCUUUUAUACAGGAAGAAACACUCUCACGUGUGAGAGC
rnacentral:rRNA from 1 species